CCUACGUGAGGCUGCAGUGGGGAAUAUUGCACAAUGGGGGAAACCCUGAUGCAGCGACGCCGCGUGAGUGAAGAAGUAAUUCGUUAUGUAAAGCUCUAUCAGCAGGGAAGAAAAUGACGGUACCUGAGUAAGAAGCCCCGGCCAACUACGGGCCAGCAGCCGCGGUAAUACGUAGGGGGCAAGCGUUAUCCGGAUUUACUGGGUGUAAAGGGAGCGUAGACGGCAGUGCAAGUCUGGAGUGAAAGGCGGGGGCUCAACCCCCGGACUGCUCUGGAAACUGUACGGCUGGAUUGCAGGAGAGGUAAGUGGAAUUCCUAGUGUAGCGGUGAAAUGCGUAGAUAUUAGGAGGAACACCAGUUGCGAAGGCGGCUUACUGGACUGUAACUGACGUUGAGGCUCGAAAGCGUGGGGAGCAAACAGGAUUAGAUACCCGUGUAGUC
rnacentral:rRNA from 1 species